GUGGCGAACGGGUGAGUAACACGUGGGUAAUCUGCCCUGUACUCUGGGAUAAGCCUGGGAAACUGGGUCUAAUACCGGAUAUGACCUCGGAGGGCAUUUUCUGGGGUGGAAAGUUUUUCGGCUAGGGAUGGGCCCGCGGCCUAUCAGCUUGUUGGUGGGGUAAUGGCCUACCAAGGCGACGACGGGUAGCCGGCCUGAGAGGGCGACCGGCCACACUGGGACUGAGACACGGCCCAGACUCCUACGGGAGGCAGCAGUGGGGAAUAUUGCGCAAUGGGCGAAAGCCUGACGCAGCGACGCCGCGUGAGGGAUGAAGGCCUUCGGGUUGUAAACCUCUUUCAGCAGGGACGAAAACAGACGGUACCUGCAGAAGAAGCACCGGCCAACUACGUGCCAGCAGCCGCGGUAAUACGUAGGGUGCAAGCGUUGUCCGGAAUUAUUGGGCGUAAAGAGCUCGUAGGCGGUUUGUCGCGUCGGCUG
rnacentral:rRNA from 1 species